AAGCGCCCCACAUCACCCACUAGUAGCAGCUCCGGGUGAAUUUCAGGCUUCCUGGCCUUCCCAGCCCCACCAGAGUUAGUUCAGGACCAAUGGCCUUUGUCCCCGCAGAACCUGGGCUGCACGGGGAAAGAAGCGGACCUCCUAGCGCACGCCAGAGUCGGUCGGCACUCGGGUAAGCCCAGAUAACAGGUGGCUUUAAUGCCAGGUCCCAUGGCUCGGAGGAGCUCCAAGGUCAUUGGGUCAAUUCGGGGAGCACGUGAAAGAGAGGCAGGACCCCCCACUUGAGGAAGAGGCAACCCUUAACUCUGGCGAGCCUGCCAUGGAAGGCGGUACUCCAAAAACAAUGGGAAGAUGCCAAAAGAAGGAACAGAGAAGGUAGUUUGAAGGAGCUCCCAACAGCCAACAGACAAUUUCGGCCUCAAAGCACAUAGACAAAAGCAACAAUUUCAGCAUCGAAAUAAAUAAUGACAAUAACAGAUUAUAAUCCAUAGAAGAAAAUAUGAAUCCAUGAGUCUAAACAGGUACAAUUAAACAAAUGCAAGGGAAAGCUCUUACAACAGAAUGCCCGCGAAUAAAUGUUGGAGGAAUAGUGAAAAUAAAGAACGGCCAUUUUGCAAUGAUUAAGGUUAUCCAGCCAACAGUCAUAAAUGGGUGAUAAACAUCGUGGGUGAAAGUGGGGUAAAGAACAGUGGAUUUAUAUCACUUACAGAGAUUCCACACAAAAUAACUAUUAAUUACAAAGAGGGGGAAAAAACCUUUAGGUCCGAGAACCUCGCAGGCGCUGUCUUACUCAAACGACCAACAUUAUCAUCUGUAAUAGCACAAAUAUAUGUCACGUACCCCCCAGUAGGUCACAAUAAGACAACAUCACUAAUUUGAUCGCCUCACCAAAGAGGCAUAUCCUGAAUCUGAUCAGGAGGAAGCUUGGACAGACUCAGGCUCAGGCACAUUCUCUGUUUCCUUUAGGAAGAUCAAGGGCAUCAGACUUAGGAAAGAGUGAGGAAGUGCUCCAGGCAAAGGGGGGAAUCAAAGCCAUGGUGAGUGGGUGUAAUUCAUUAUCCCAAAUCAAACCUUUUUAUUACAAAGAACAUCACAGGGGCAUUUGGCAAAAGUGGAAUGGGGUGUCUAGGUGAAGGGCGUCUGUGAAUUCUUGCAACCUUUCUGCAUAUUAAAUUGUUUCAAAAUAAAUUUAUUUUUUUUUUAAAAAGCAGCAGGAAU